rnacentral:rRNA from 1 species
CCUUCCGUACACUCAGGGAUAGCCUUUCGAAAGAAAGAUUAAUACCUGAUAGUAUCUUAAGCACACAUGUAAUUAAGAUUAAAGAUUUAUCGGUGUACGAUGGGGAUGCGUUCCAUUAGGUAGUAGGCGGGGUAACGGCCCACCUAGCCAACGAUGGAUAGGGGUUCUGAGAGGAAGGUCCCCCACAUUGGAACUGAGACACGGUCCAAACUCCUACGGGAGGCAGCAGUGAGGAAUAUUGGUCAAUGGACGAGAGUCUGAACCAGCCAAGUAGCGUGAAGGAUGAAGGUCCUACGGAUUGUAAACUUCUUUUAUAAGGGAAUAAACCCUCCCACGUGUGGGAGCUUGUAUGUACCUUAUGAAUAAGCAUCGGCUAACUCCGUGCCAGCAGCCGCGGUAAUACGGAGGAUGCGAGCGUUAUCCGGAUUUAUUGGGUUUAAAGGGAGCGCAGACGGGUCGUUAAGUCAGCUGUGAAAGUUUGGGGCUCAACCUUAAAAUUGCAGUUGAUACUGGCGUCCUUGAGUGCGGUUGAGGUGUGCGGAAUUCGUGGUGUAGCGGUGAAAUGCUUAGAUAUCACGAAGAACUCCGAUUGCGAAGGCAGCACACUAAUCCGUAACUGACGUUCAUGCUCGAAAGUGUGGGUAUCAAACAGGAUUAGAUACCCUGGUAGUCCACACGGUAAACGAUGGAUACUCGCUGUUGGCGAUAU